CCAAACAACUGAAAUCACAGGGUUGAGCAACCACUGAAAUCUUGUGCAGAAAACUUGGUGAAUAUUGAGAGCCAAUGAUUCCUCCUCCAACAGUGAAUGAUGGUGUUGAUUAAAUAGGGAUCGGGUGGUGCUAACAGAAAGGGGCAACUGGGGCAGUUGUUCGGGCAAGUUCAAAACAAUUACAUUUCUGUUAAGUAGCUACAUUAACUUUAAAGGCUUCUACAGCAACCAUUCAUGUCGGGUCACGAUUCUGGAAGCAAUUCAAACACCUCACGAUAUUAAUGAAGCUUGUCGAGGGACAAAUGAGGGUGUCUUAUUAUACUCACCCAUGAACCGCAAGUGGUGGAUUUAAUGGUGAAGACGCAUCGCAGAAAACGUUUAGUCCCUGCUGAAUGCCUCAGAUCAAAUGAAUGGAAAUGCUUGUGGAAAUCCAUGCUAUCAAAUUGAGUGCUUCAGAAAAUGACUCGAAAUCCGCUAUCUGCGAAUGAUGUUGAGUCAUUCUGAAAUGGGACUCUCUACCCGACAGCAAGCCGUGAAAGAGUCGGUGUCUAUCUUCGUCCAAGUGCCUGUGAACCAGUUCAGACGCACACUGCCCCGCAUAACCCAAUGCCGACAAAUCAUCAGAACAAACAGAGCCAAAUACUUGCGUCCUCCGUACAGGUAAUGGUUUAGUGACAAGGUUAUGGAGAGAUUGGAGGAUAAGGUUACCAAAUGAGUUCUGAGAUGUGAUGUUAGCUUAACAUUGAACUCAACGACGUUGGUGUUUAGACUCUCCAUACACUCCUUGCUACGUGAGCCAAAGAGAGUGAUGGCGGUGGGCAGACAACACCCAUGGGGGUACUGUUGUUACCCCAGUUUCCUUGCCCCAAGCGUAAUGAAAAAGAUACAAUUGAGCAAUUAAUGUAAACCUUGUAAAGUAAAGCAAUUAUGUAAUAGUUUUGAAUAAAAUCACUGCAACCAGUAUUAGUAAUAUAUAUAUCAUCAUGUGAUCA